CACCGUGCCCAACCAUCUCCGGCCACCCCUCGCCAUGCCGAGAGCGCCAGGAGCUCCGCCUCGUCACCACGAUCACCCUCGUCCAAGGAAUCGACCCACCGCGCCCUGUGCUGACGACACGGUCGCCGUUUCUUCGCCACGGCCGCCGCGCUCCGACGCCGAUUCUGGCCGCCGUGGUCACCCUCCGGCGACCUCGACCACACCACCGUGCUCGGGAUCCUCACCGCCGGCGAACUUCCGGCGCUCCCCGACGACGGCACCACCUCCCUUUGGUCCGCGCCGACGAGGCGACCUCGAAGCCCCACCCUCGCUUCCUGGAACGCGUCCGCUCGCCCGCGCGCGUUCGUGCCUUUCGCUGGUGAUCACCGCGCACCGCCUGGUGGUCACCGCCCUCUCUGUCGCACAAGCUCGGCCACGUCGUCCGCCACGCGGCAUCCACGUCGUCGCAUGGUCCCAUCAGUCAGCCAGUCGGGCUAGGCCCAUCUCCGCAUUUGCUUCUUCCCGGAUAGGAUCGCGAAGUGUUGUUGUGAGAUACGACGAGUUCUCCGACAAGUUCUUAUGCAGCUUUUCACAGGCGAGCCCACCCCUUCACCUAUUUUACUUUUACAUGCUCUUUUGAUCUAUUGCUAUCCUUAUGUUGCGAUUCUGUUGUGUCACGUGUCCUAUCCACCUGUUACCUAUAUGUCCGAGAUACACCUCCUCGCCCUACCUAUUGUUUGUUGUU